rnacentral:rRNA from 1 species
CCUACGGGAGACAGCAGUAGGGAAUCUUUCACAAUGGGCGAAAGCCUGAUGGAGCAACGCCGCGUGCAGGAUGAAGGCCUUCGGGUUGUAAACUGCUUUUAUAAGCGAGAAAUAUGAUGGUAACUUAUGAAUAAGGAUCGGCUAACUACGUGCCAGCAGCCGCGGUCAUACGUAGGAUCCGAGCAUUAUCCGGAGUGACUGGGUGUAAAGAGUUGCGUAGGUGGCAUAAUAAGUAGCUAGUGAAAUCUGGUGGCUCAACCAUUCAGACUAUUAGCUAAACUGUUAAGCUCGAGACCGUUAGGGGUAACUGGAAUGUCUAGUGUAGGAGUGAAAUCCGUAGAUAUUAGAAGGAACACCAAUAGCGUAGGCAGGUUGCUGGGACGGUUCUGACACUAAGGCACGAAAGCGUAGGGAGCAAACGGGAUUAGAUACCCUAGUAGUC